rnacentral:tRNA from 1 species
CUUGGAGUACCUGAGUGGUCUAAAGGCACAGACUGCAAAUCUGAUGAUUCGUGGGUUCAAAUCCCACCUCCAAGU